rnacentral:rRNA from 1 species
UACAGAGGGUGCAAGCGUUAAUCGGAAUUACUGGGCGUAAAGCGUGCGUAGACGGUCAUGUAAGUCGGGUGUGAAAGCCCCGGGCUCAACCUGGGAAUUGCAUUCGAGACUGCAUGGCUAGGAUGCGGAAGAGGGAAGCGGAAUUUCCGGUGUAGCGGUGAAAUGCGUAGAUAUCGGAAGGAACACCAGUGGCGAAGGCGGGUCUCUGGGCCGAUACUGACGCUGAGGAGCGAAAGCGUGGGGAGCAAACAGG